rnacentral:tRNA from 1 species
AAAAUUUUAAGUUAAAUAAACUAUAAAAUUUCAAAUUUUACAAUAAAAUUUUAUUUUAAAUUUUA